CCUACGGGGGGCUGCGGUGGGGAAUAUUGGACAAUGGGCGAAAGCCUGAUCCAGCCAUGCCGCGUGUGUGAAGAAGGCCUUCGGGUUGUAAAGCACUUUCAGUGGGGAAGAAAGCCUUGGGGCUAAUACCCUCGAGGAAGGACAUCACCCACAGAAGAAGCACCGGCUAACUCCGUGCCAGCAGCCGCGGUAAUACGGAGGGUGCGAGCGUUAAUCGGAAUUACUGGGCGUAAAGCGCGCGUAGGCGGUCUGAUAAGCCGGUUGUGAAAGCCCCGGGCUCAACCUGGGAACGGCAUCCGGAACUGUCAGGCUAGAGUGCAGGAGAGGAAGGUAGAAUUCCCGGUGUAGCGGUGAAAUGCGUAGAGAUCGGGAGGAAUACCAGUGGCGAAGGCGGCCUUCUGGACUGACACUGACGCUGAGGUGCGAAAGCGUGGGUAGCAAACAGGAUUAGAUACCCCAGUAGUC
rnacentral:rRNA from 1 species